rnacentral:rRNA from 1 species
UUUGAACGCUGGCGGCAUGCCUUACACAUGCAAGUCGAACGGUAACAGGUCUUCGGAUGCUGACGAGUGGCGAACGGGUGAGUAAUACAUCGGAACGUGCCUAGUAGUGGGGGAUAACUACUCGAAAGAGUGGCUAAUACCGCAUGAGAUCUACGGAUGAAAGCAGGGGAUCGCAAGACCUUGUGCUACUAGAGCGGCCGAUGGCAGAUUAGGUAGUUGGUGGGAUAAAAGCUUACCAAGCCGACGAUCUGUAGCUGGUCUGAGAGGACGAUCAGCCACACUGGGACUGAGAAACGGCCCAGACUCCUACGGGAGGCAGCAGUGGGGAAUUUUGGACAAUGGGCGCAAGCCUGAUCCAGCAAUGCCGCGUGCAGGAUGAAGGCCUUCGGGUUGUAAACUGCUUUUGUACGGAACGAAAAGCCCCGGGUUAAUACCCUGGGGUCAUGACGGUACCGUAAGAGUAAGCACCGGCUAACUACGUGCCAGCAGCCGCAGUAA